rnacentral:tRNA from 2 species
GGGGGCGUGGUGGAGCUGGCGAUACACGGCGGCCUCAAAAGCCGCUGCCCGCAAGGGCUUAGGGGUUCGAAUCCCCUCGCCCCCACCA